GGGGGGGGGGUAUUCGAGGGUGAAUACUGGUAUGGUGGAGGUGGUGGUAGUGAGAGUGAUUACUGGUGUUAGUUUGAAGGUAUUUCGCAACCGGCCGCUGUCGUGGACGGCGGAGCUGUCUUGUUUCGAUGGAAUAUUCAAACCGGCCGGCGAGGAUUUGAGGUGUGAAUCCUAUGGGAAUGGAAAGAGGAGGGUGGGAUGCUCUUGUGGUGUAAAUUUGAAGGACUUUGGGGCUACGCCGGCGGCGGCGGGGGGUGGUGGUUCUGUGACGGUACAUGGGCGGUGGUGACAUUCAAUAUUGAACUGUACGAGGAAGGGAAGGU
rnacentral:lncRNA from 1 species